AGUGAACGCUGGCGGUAGGCCUAACACAUGCAAGUCGAACGGCAGCACAGUAAGAGCUUGCUCUUACGGGUGGCGAGUGGCGGACGGGUGAGGAAUACAUCGGAAUCUACUUUUUCGUGGGGGAUAACGUAGGGAAACUUACGCUAAUACCGCAUACGACCUACGGUUGAAAGCAGGGGAUCUUCGGACCUUGCGCGAUUGAAUGAGCCGAUGUCGGAUUAGCUAGUUGGGCGGGUAAAGGCCCACCAAGGCGACGAUCCGUAGCUGGUCUGAGAGGAUGGUCAGCCACACGGGAACUGAGACACGGUCCAGACUCCUAAGGGAGGGAGCAGUGGGGAAUAUUGGGCAAUGGGGGGAAACCUGAUCCAGCCAUACCGCGUGGGUUAAAGAAGCCUUCGGGGUUGAAAGCCCUUUUGUUGGGAAAAAAAAGCAGCAGGUUAAUACCCCGCUGGUCUGACGGUACCCAAAGAAUAAGCACCGGCUAACUUCGUG
rnacentral:rRNA from 1 species